AAAGCAGCUAACUACGAUAAACUGGACGGUAAGGGACGAAAGCUUGGGUAGCGAACGGGAUUUAGAUACCCCGGUAGUCCAAGCCGUAAAUGAUGCUUGCUAGAUGUUUUGGACCCUUGUGGUCUGGAGUGUCGUAAUCUAACGAGUUAAGCAAGCCGCCUGGGUAGUAUAUUCGCAAGAAUGAUACUCAAAGGGAUAGGCGGGGGUACACACAAGCAGUGGAUUGUCUAGAUUAAUUGGACAAUAAGCCAAGAAUCUUACCUAGAUUUGACAUGUACUAUGUCCUAUGUGAAAGCAUAGUAGUCCGAGCAAUCGGACAUGGUAUACAGGUGGUGCAUGGUCGUCGUCAGCUCGUGCCGUAAGGUGUCUAGUUAAGUCUGGAAACGAGCGCAACCCUCAUCUUUAGUUAGAAUGUCUAAAGAGACUGCUCUGGUAACGGAGAGGAAGGAGAGGAUGACCGUCAGAUCCUCAUGCCCCUUACAUCUAGGGCUUCAUAGACAAUACAAUGGGUGAUACAACGAGAAGCUAACACGUGAGGUGGAGCAAACCUCUAAAGUUAUCCCAAGUUCGGAUGCUAGUCUGGNACUCGACUACAUGAAGUUGGNAUUGCUAGUAAUGNCGGGUCAGCUACACCGCCGUGNAUAUGUNCCUGUCCAUGCACUCACCGCCCGUCANACCAUGGGAGCUG
rnacentral:rRNA from 1 species